rnacentral:rRNA from 1 species
GACAGGGGGUGCAAGCGUUGUUCGGAAUCACUGGGCGUAAAGGGCGCGUAGGCGGCAGGAUUAGUCUUUUGUGAAAUUCCGGGGCUCAACCCCGGCGCUGCAAGAGAUACUGUUCUGCUUGAGACUGGUAGAGGCUGGUGGAAUUCCCGGUGUAGCGGUGUAAUGCGUAGAGAUCGGGAAGAACACCCGAGGCGAAGGCGGCCAGCUGGGCCAGUUCUGACGCUGAGGCGCGAAAGCGUGGGGAGCAAACAGG